UGGUGGGAUACUACCCUAGCUGUGUUGGCUUUCUAACCCGCACCACUUAUCGUGGUGGGAGACAGUGUCAGGCGGGCAGUUUGACUGGGGCGGUCGCCUCCUAAAAGGGAACGGAGGCGCUCAAAGGGUCCCUCAGAAUGGUUGGAAAUCAUUCGUAGAGUGUAAAGGCAUAAGGGUGCUUGACUGCGAGACCUACAAGUCGAGCAGGGUCGAAAGACGGACUUAGUGAUCCGGUGGUUCCGCAUGGAAGGGCCAUCGCUCAACGGAUAAAAGCUACCCCGGGGAUAACAGGCUUAUCUCCCCC
rnacentral:rRNA from 2 species